rnacentral:rRNA from 1 species
UAGGGAAUCUUCCGCAAUGGACGAAAGUCUGACGGAGCAACGCCGCGUGAGUGACGAAGGUUUUCGGAUCGUAAAACUCUGUUAUUAGGGAAGAACAAAUGCGUAAGUAACUGUGCGCAUCUUGACGGUACCUAAUCAGAAAGCCACGGCUAACUACGUGCCAGCAGCCGCGGUAAUACGUAGGUGGCAAGCGUUAUCCGGAAUUAUUGGGCGUAAAGCGCGCGUAGGCGGUCUCUUAAGUCUGAUGUGAAAGCCCACGGCUCAACCGUGGAGGGUCAUUGGAAACUGGGAAACUUGAGUACAGAAGAGGAAAGUGGAAUUCCAUGUGUAGCGGUGAAAUGCGCAGAGAUAUGGAGGAACACCAGUGGCGAAGGCGACUUUCUGGUCUGUUACUGACGCUGAUGUGCGAAAGCGUGGGGAUCAAACA